UGACUUUUCUUGAGUACCCUUUGUGCAC
rnacentral:piRNA from 1 species